rnacentral:lncRNA from 1 species
ACGAGGCACCAUGGCAUGUUGUUCGCAGGUAAACAUACAGUACAUGCAUGGUGCUGGCAUUUUCGCCAUGGACGAGGUAAGGGUGGCAGCCCAUACGGAGUUUGUAAGAGUACUGCUGUGGAUUCACUCCUCACGAACACGAAUUCGGGUUACAAGACCAGAUACAAGAAGAAUUGCUCAAGGAGGAAGAAGCCAGAGGUAGUAGGAGAAGAGGAGGAAGCCGCCGUGCCGAUAGCCGUGAUCCACUGGAUGCCUCUCUCGUUGCUUUCCUCCAGGUAUUUGUACCAGCAGCAGCUAGGCCCAUGAGCUGGCCCAAUGGGCAAAGCCCAUGUUAGGACCUGUGUUAGGAGGGCUCCUAACAUCCCCUCCUCCUUGAAAAUCGGCUUGCCCUCAAGCCGAUGCCACCGAGAACCGCCGGGAUCCCAUUGCACUCGAUGUUCCUUGACUAGCUCAAAGUCGUAGUUGAGUUGAAUGACGAGGUUGUAGUAGCCGUGGCCGAUGGCGACCUGACCGAAGGAGGUGUCAAGGAAGUAGUCCUUGUAGAAGCUAAUGUAGUACAUGUGGUCGAUGUAGCCUUGCAGCAAUCCGGCAUCAAGAACGACCGCGAUGACAUUUCCCCCUCCUUGAAAAUGUUCUUCAUCAGAGCAUUGAGAGGACGACAUACCACUCAUAGGUUGUGCUUCAUGGCUGGUGAGCAUCAACCUUAGGAUCUUCGACGGCUGAGGAUUGCAAGCAGGCAUGGUGACACCCCCGGGAUCCCAUGACUUGUGUACAUAAAUUGCAGCUUGUAUGUCUUUAUGCGCAUAUACGUCCUCAUCGGGUGCAAGAAGUGUCAAUUGCUGCUCUGACAAAUGAAUGCGGAUGCCCAUUUUAGAGAUUGGCUCCGUCUUGUCAACCAUUCCAUCUAGUUUAGAAACAGCAUGUGAUGGGCAUCUCAAUACUCUGAGUAUGAUAUCCAACAAGGAGCCUCUUGCUAAGCACCAAUUUCUCAAGAAAUGGAGAGGAAAUAACAUCGAAGGGUCGUUGUCGUGCAACGCAAUAACCACCAACUGAAUUAGUGUCCAACAGGUUGUCUUGGCAUAUAUAUCUUCAGCGAUGGUCUGCUUGCUUGUGGCGGACGGCAUGUCAUGAGUGUUGUCACCAAACGUUGUUGCACCAAGUGGGGAACAACCCUUGAAUGUGAUCAGUGAAGUAAACUGAACUUUAGCUCUUGAACCCGCAAACUGAACAUAUGUGUCGUUGAGGAAACACAUGCAUGAGAAAUCCUGUGUUAACGACUGAACUUGUUCACCACUGUGUGCAUGAAGGAAGCUGAAAGUGAAAUUAACACCAUACAUUGCAUCAUCUUGCGAAGUGAUUCCCAUUAGUUUGCUCAUGAUCCAAGUGUCAAAAAUGCAGCAGUACCAAGCUUCAUGUGCAUAAUUAUCUCUGAAUCGUAGCUUUACUGGCCAAAAAUUGAAACCUGAUUGUUGUUCACCUAGUGCAGACCCAUGUGUAUGUGUAGGUCGCCAUAGUUGCAGCUGCACAUAUUGCAAAUAACUGAAGUGCUCUUCCAUGGAAUCCCGCUCACAACCAUCAGGGAAGUUCCUCCUCAUCCCCUCAAUCAAGGUAGGUUGUCCCCUGAACAUGCCAACAAUGCCAAGGAGAGUGGCAGUAAUAGUACGAUGAUAGCUCAGAAUACUAUCCAUGACAAGAUCAAGCAAUGGUUGCCUCACAUAGGAAGACCACGGCUGCAAUUCCACUUCUUUCUGCAUUUUUUUAGUCUCAAGGAUCCCAUCACUGAAAUCAGAAUCCAUUAUCUCUGUUGCAACAUGUACGUUCAGAACAACCAACAUUCCAAGAAUCUCCAAAUACCCAGAAUAAUGAUUGGCCUCACUACAGCGUAGUUCAUAUAGUAGUCCAAAUACUACAAACUGCCAUGGAUGCUUUUGAGAGAUAGGCUGCCCUUGUUCAGUGAUGCUAGCUAGAUCAGAAGAGAGCACUGGCUCAAGAUGUAUUAACUGAAGAUCAAAACUGCUCGCCGUGGUCCAGUCACUAUAUUUCUUUAUACUCCAAAACUGAUGUAUAACUGUGAGUAUCCUUAUGCAUUUUCCCAGUAGACUGGGCAACCAUGCCCAUGCAUUGCCAAUGUGUAAGCAGAUUGAAGUACAACCACUUCCUUUGAAUUCCCCUUGACAUGGAAAUUUUCAGUGCACUGACACAAGCAUAAACUGAAUUGUUCCCUGUUUCUUUAUUCGGAAAUUGCAAGAACAAGAUGGUCUUGAUAGCUUCAGGUGUACAUUCUUUUGACUGAUCCUGAACAACAAAUGUGCAUCUUGAGCACAAAGUUCAUUAGAAGUAUGCACCUGAAAGAUAAUAGACCUCCCUUCCACAACACUCAGGUACAGACCGCCAAUAAUUUGCAUGAUCGGCUGACUCACGGCAGGAAUAUCUCUCGGCACUAUGGGGCAACAGCAAGCAAACUUGUCCAAAUAAAAUUCAGUGGAAGCAUAAAGAUGGGUACACCAUUCAGCAAUUUCCUGUGAUUGCACUCUGCAACAUGGAUAGAACUGCAAGUCUUUAUAGUUCACCGGCUCCAUAUGUAAUGUUGCUAGCCCCAAACAGGUAAGAUAACCUACAUGUGUACGACUAGUUUGAAGGCAAGAUGAUUCAUGUACCACUGCUUGGCUGCGACCUGCUGGGUUGGACUGUUUAGCAUCGGAUGUUGCACGAUCCAGUGGACGCCAAGACGGCAGUUGUGCACCCGAUAGACAACUAAAAUACACUUCCAUGGAAAUCACCUCACAACCAGAAACUUGAGGGAAAACCACAUCUCUGAAUAACCUUAGAACGGGUCCAGAACUAAACCAUAAUACUUCAUGUGGCUGACAACGUAUACCUGAACAUGGCUCCUCCUGACAGCUUGCAUCUGAAUGAGACUUGAAAGACGGCCACGGCCUAGGCCUAAACAGGCGCCCGAUGUGUUUGGUGCUCACUCCUAGAGGUGGUGGCCAUGGUUGCUGCUCUGUGUGUGCAGUUGGCUGCACCGGAUCGUCGCCAUGGACGAUGUAAUCUGUCAAACACAUGGUCAGCAUCGGUGCAGAGAACUCGCUGAGGAUGAUGAGGACGACGCCGUGAUCUGGCUUGCUCAUCACUUGCGUGGAGGUGUUGACAGAGAGGGCAUCGAGCUCCUGCACGCCGGCCUUGGGGUCGACGUCGGUGGUGGUCAUCACGGGAGAAACGACCUUAGCAUUAGAGGCCGUUGCCUGCACUGGAGUGAGUUGCUCGGCUGCUUGGUUGAUGCGGUCGACCGUGGGCUCGAGGUGGAUAGCGGUGGUGGCGUCAUGGACCUCGUCGACGAUGUCGAUGGUGUUGACCUGGGUCGAGCACUCCGUCGAACAGGUGACAGGCACCAUCGCGAUGCACACCGGGGCUGAAUCAUGGUCGACCGUGGGGAUCUCCUGGGCCUUGGUGGUGGAGCUGGGGACGUCGGGGACGGGCGCCGACGAGGCAUGCGUCGUGGUUGAGGCCGCCGGAUCGACAAGCGGGGUGACCAUGGGAGGGUCACCCACCCGUGCAAUCCCCAACACUGACUCACCUCCUCCGCCUGAGCACAUAAUCUCUCGAGAUACCACAAUAACUGCUCCUUGGCAGACAUGGCAUCCCACUAUGGUGGUUUGACUGUGGGCAUGGCGUCCUCGCCGGUGGAAUCGGAGGGAUUGGGAGUGGUAGAAAAAUUGGGGGAAAUUUGAGGGAGAAGGGUGGUGGCCUGGCUCUGUAUACCAGAUGUAAGAGUACUGCUGUGGAUUCACUCCUCACGAACACGAAUUCGGGUUACAAGACCAGAUACAAGAAGAAUUGUUCAAGGAGGAAGAAGCCAUAGGAGAAGAGGAGGAAGCCGCCGUGCCGAUAGUCGUGAUCCACUGGAUGCCUCUCUCGUUGCUUUCCUCCAGGUAUUUGUACCAGCAGCAGCUAGGCCCAUGAGCUGGCCCAAUGGGCAAAGCCCAUGUUAGGACCUGUGUUAGGAGGGCUCCUA